CCGAUCAACAAAAGGGCGGCGGAGGCACCAUGAUAGGAGCUCAUCCCCUAGGAAGUUUCCAGGGCCUAGCAUGCAUGUGGCCACCAUGCCUUGACUGAGGUGCUGGCUACUCUUCAAUUGGCCUCGGACAACAAACACCAUGCAAUGAACGGGAUCUCCUUCUCUGAUUACCUGGUUCAGAAGUAAUAGUUCAUAACAACAAAGGAAAGGGCAUUGCAACCAAAGUAGGAAUAUAGAUAAGCUAAUAUGUAGGAAAGAUACUUCCACUAGAUAACUGCAAUGUUUCUGUUCAUUGUCAUACCUUUUCACCCUUGGAGAAAACAAGGGGUUUAACUCUAUCACAGAUAUUGUCAAGGAUAAGUUCAUCCAAGUUGUGGAAGAAUGGCACCUGAAUGACAAAAGGAACUGAACUGAAUUAGGUCCACCUUCACAUAAUAUAUACUAGCUAUUCUUUCUCAUCAAGCAAUAGUAGCAUGGCGUAUUAGUAUAUAUGCUUCUCUAAAUUUCUUUGGUUGAAUACUCUUCUGUAAGUUUCUUGUGAAUGGGGUUGUACUUGAUGAUUGAUUUAGCCAUGGAUUUCUUUUGUCUUCUUACUCUAUGACAUCUGUACAGAGAAUAUAAGCUGUUACUUUGUUCAUUUCCAGUUCGAUCUUUAUGGUCCGCUCGUUACGGUUCUAAUGAACGAAUCACUGUUUCAGAGGGGAAGGAGGGUGCACAGCCUUGAGUUCCAACUUGAUGCCUGAUACUAUGUUUCAUCAAUGACCCCCCCCUCCUGCUCUUUCUUAUAAACUGACAUACUGUCUCAACAAUUAAAGUACCUUCUUAAUGAGAUCAAGGCAGAGAUAGCGCUUUAUGUCUCGCCUUAGUCCUUCUGGCAAGUCUUCGAUCAUGUUGACUUCAUCCUCCCCUCUCAUUGCCAGCCAUCUCUGGCAUUCAUACUGGCGGACUCUCUGUCUCAGGCGUGACGGUAGCUGUCUCCGCUUCAUCCACCAUUCCAUGUCUCGAAACCGUAAUUGCAUCUUUCUCUUCCUCGCCAUGACCGCAUGCAAGAAUACCUAUCAAUCAAGAUCUAGCCGUUAGAAACUCACAUUUCACAUUCUUAUGUACAUCUCAACUGAUGACUAUAGAUAAUUAAGCCAGACUAUGUAUACAGUAAAACAUACCUGAAUAUUACCAAUCAACAAAGUGAAGAGCAUUAGACCACUUAAUACGAUGAUGAUACUGAAUAUGACCUCUAACCAGUGACUUGUAGGCUCGAGAUCAUUGCCAAAAGUGCUGUAUAAAAUUAUUCCAUCAUCAGUAGCCUUCAAUUCACAGCUGUGUAUAACUAGUACAUUCAAAUCCUCUUAAGGGAUGAUCGGUAGUUAGCAUAGUAAAGAAAAAUAUAUAUGGUAUGAUGAAAGAAAUUUGCGCAGAUUCGAACCAUAAUAGUUUGAUGCUCUGUUAAAGAUUCUAGCUUUUUAAGUUAGAAUUACCUUAGAGUCAUAAGUCCCCAAAAUAUAGGGAAAAAGAUUUUGACAGCAAGUGAGCUGCUGGAAACAACAGGGAGAGCCCAAUUGUAGAUCCCAUAACGGAAUGGUCCAUUGACAUUUAAACAAACUGGAAUAUUUUGGAUUCCAAUGGCUGUUGUCAAGUUACUCUCACAUGCUAAUCCAUGCAUGCCUAAUGGUAAGGGAAGACGGUAACAGACCUCCUUGGAACAGGCCAAUGAUACAAGAUCACAAUUGUUGUUCUUCUCACAUUGUUGUUGGAGGCACGAGGCGACACGUUGAAUUGCAAGAACAUACCAACACCCACCAGCUACCUGAAAUAAACCAACAUAUAAUUUCAGUGUUGUUGCAUUAAACUCAUGCUACAAACUUGAACCUCACAGAAUUUCUUGAUAACUUGCAGAUUGUUAUACCCUAUGGUUCCAAUCUAGCGAUAAGUGAAAACUUAAAUUUUGCUUUAUCAGGGAUAGACAUUACAACUUCGAAUGGUAAAUUAAAAACUUUCACCACUUUGUAAUUUCUAGUUGAUCUGUUUGAAUAGGCACCUUCUUAUAUGCUUUCUCUUCAUAUGCAGGUUGAAAGUGGCUUAAGUAGUGAAGUGCUCGACACGAACAUCAUAUCCAAGUUCAUGAAUCCUAUGAUUUCUCUACAUGAAAAUAUGUAUGUUUCAUGUUCAUCUUUUGUGACAUAGAGAGAUACUAAUCACUUGGGAAUUUUACCUGAUGUUCAAGUUUCUUUACCUAAUUUUUUUUGUAAGAUUUUACGAGUUUAAGUUGGACCCAUCAGUAUAUUUAACAGUCACCAGUGACUAACAAGUGAUGUAUGUUGCUUAGAAAAACAACCACUGAUUGAUGUUGAGUUUAGCAAAGACAUUUUAUAAUCUAAAUAACUAACAAAUUGAUGCUUGAGGCUAGCUAAGUCCAUUGCUUGCUCCUCUUGAUAUAGUUUAUGUAGCUUACAGGACUCGAACAAUUUGGUCCUACUUAUAUUCAAGUCUUCCGAGCUUAAAUUACACAACUUGCUACUUGAGUAAAAUUAGCUGAUCAGUAGACCAAUCUAUUAACGUGUAGGAGUUUAGAAUAGGAUGAUAGUGUUACUCACAUGAGAGGCAAUAAAGUAAGCUAUUAGGUUGAGGCAAAAGCCCCACCAGAUUGUUCCAAAAAUGUAGCCAGUAACUUUCUGCAUCCUUCUCAUCACACAGAUGCUGU
rnacentral:lncRNA from 1 species